rnacentral:tRNA from 1 species
GGUGAGGUGCAGGAGUGGUUAAACUGCCUGGUCUCGAAAACCAUGGUCCGCCUUUGGCGGAACGCGAGUUCGAAUCUCGCCCUCACCG